rnacentral:rRNA from 1 species
AUGCUUAGGGCUGUUUUGAAGAAUAAUAAGAAAAUAUGGGAGGAAUGCUUGCCUCAUAUUGAAUUUGCUUAUAAUCGUUCAUUGCAUUCUACUACUAAGAUGUGCCCUUUUGAAGUUGUGUAUGGUUUCCUACCUCGUGCACCUAUUGAUUUGUUGCCUCUUCCAUCUUCGGAGAAGGUUAAUUUUGAUGCUAAACAACAUGCUGAAUUGAUUUUAAAAAUGCAUGAGUUAACUAAGGAAAACAUUGAGCGUAUGAAUGCUCAAUAUAAACUUGCUGGAGAUAAGGGUAGAAAACAUGUUGUGUUUGCACCUGGAGAUCUUGUUUGGUUACAUUUGCGUAAGGAUAGAUUUUCUGAUUUGCGCAAAUCAAAGCUAAUGCCACGUGCUGAUGGUCCCUUUAAGGUGUUAGAGAAAAUAAAUGAUAAUGCAUAUAAACUUGAGCUGCCUGCAGAUUUUGGGGUUAGUCCCACUUUUAACAUUGCAGAUUUGAAGCCUUAUUUGGGUGAGGAAGAUGAGUUUCCGUCGAGGACGACUUCAUUUCAAGAAGGGGAGGAUGAUGAGGACAUCAAUACCAUUGUUACACCCACAGCCCCUACUGCUACAUAUAUGGGACCAAUUACUAGAGCUCGCGCACGCCAAUUAAAUUAUCAGGUACUUUCGUUUCUUGGUAAUGAUUCUAAUGUUCAUGAGAAUAUGAUGCUGCCUAAAUUGGAUACAUUUGUUUUGCUUACAAAUGAAGGGCCUAGCUUGGAGAAGGAUGAACAUUGGAGCAAGAACAAGCAUAGAGAUGAUGCCAUGCGCAAGGGGAACAAGAACGGAGUUACAAGUGAUGAUUUCAGGACUUUGAAGCCACCAUAA